CCUGGCUUCACCUGAACGUUUUUAUUCCCGUUGAUUUUUACGUAACACUCUGUAGAAAGUGGCUGCAGCCAGAAGAACACGAAGUCGCCAUCAGCACCGGGUUACUCAAGAGAACUGAGGAACCCCUCCAGUGAGUUUCAUAAUUAGGUUGUGUAAGGGCACGUUACGUAUGAGGGCUUUAGAAGCCAGCGGGCUACAAAUGCAGUUCCUUGCCGCACUGAAAACAUUGAUUUAACCGCCAACUCGGACUGUGAACCAACCAUGAAAACGAACAGGGAGAAAGUAAUUGGAAGUCAAGUCAUUUCAGCCGAACUUGUGGCUGGACUACUACUCAGCAUAGCGUAUAGGAUGUGUUCCAGUUUGGCUUUUUCUUCAGAGGGGGGACGCGUCAGUGACGAAAGCGCGCAGUUUGAAGUAACGCGCUCACUCGUAUGUGUGUGGGUUGCCAGUAAUAUUAAGUUCAUUUUCUUCAAAAGCAACAACCAUCCACUUUCUCUGUCUGCUCAUUCCGUCUCCAGGCUUGUUGCCUUCCUUUCACUGUUGGGAGUCUGCAGAGAGGCGCACGUUCAAGGAACAGACUGCAGACAUCUUCCCAUGGUGGACGUGGCAGUGUUCUUAUUCUUUCUCCUAAGCAGUUUGAUUCUUUUGAUCUUGGAUCACAAUCAGUUGAAAGGCUCUUUGAAACGAUCUGAACUGCUCACUAAGCCCCAGAGGUUUUUCCUUCAAAUAGAUUUUUUUGCCAACUUCAUUUGUGGCCUCAUGUGGUUGGUUUUUCCAGGAUGGCUUCUUGGGUCACAGAUUACUGGAUCUGAGGAUUAUCUUUAUCUCACUCGGGCAUUUGGAGCUAUGAUGGUUGGAGACAGCUUUGUUUCUUUUACCACUCAGAAACAAAUGGGAACCAAUGAGGUAUCUGUCUUCAGCAGCCGGGCUGUGGGAACUUCGGCGGUUGUCAUCUUCAUGAUCCACACCCAGCUCACCACAUCGGCAUGGAAAACCCCACAUCUCUGUUUGGGUCUAGUAGGGGUCAGCCUCUGGGCUGGAAACUCCAUCCUGGGCUACCUGAGCUCCAAAGACACGACGACAGAGUCAGUGAAUGAUAUAUACUGGCGUGCUGUACAGAAAAAAGACAGAAGACUUUAUGUACAAUAGAUAUUUUGUCAUAUGCAUAUAUAUUAUAACAUCAUUGUGUGCAUUUCAGUGCUUUAUGAUGUUUUUGACAAACUAUACUGUAAAUAUAGUUGUUUUAUGAAU
rnacentral:lncRNA from 1 species